GACGCUGGCGGCGUGCCUAACACAUGCAAGUCGAACGAGAUCCAUGGGAGCUUGCUCCCGGAAGAUCUAGUGGCGAACGGGUGAGUAACACGUGAGAAACCUGCCCUGGAGUGGGGAAUAACUCGGGGAAACUCGAGCUAAUACCGCAUACCCUCGGAUGGUCGCAUGGCCGACCGAGGAAAGAUUUAUCGCUCUAGGAGGGUCUCGCGGCCUAUCAGCUAGUUGGUGGGGUAACGGCCUACCAAGGCAACGACGGGUAGCUGGUUUGAGAGAACGAUCAGCCACACUGGGACUGAGACACGGCCCAGACUCCUACGGGAGGCAGCAGUGGGGAAUCUUGCGCAAUGGGCGAAAGCCUGACGCAGCAACGCCGCGUGCGGGAUGACGGCCUUCGUGGUUGUAAACCGCUUUCAGCAGGGACGAAAAUGACGGUACCUGCAGAAGAAGCCCCGGCUAACUACGUG
rnacentral:rRNA from 1 species